UACGAGGGGGGCUAGCGUUGCUCGGAAUCACUGGGCGUAAAGGGUGCGUAGGCGGGUCUUUAAGUCAGGGGUGAAAUCCUGGAGCUCAACUCCAGAACUGCCUUUGAUACUGAAGGUCUUGAGUUCGGGAGAGGUGAGUGGAACUGCGAGUGUAGAGGUGAAAUUCGUAGAUAUUCGCAAGAACACCAGUGGCGAAGGCGGCUCACUGGCCCGAUACUGACGCUGAGGCACGAAAGCGUGGGGAGCAAACAGG
rnacentral:rRNA from 1 species